UACGAAGGGGGCUAGCGUUGUUCGGAAUUACUGGGCGUAAGGCGCACGUAGGCGGACUAUUAAGUCAGGGGUGAAAUCCCGGGGCUCAACCCCGGAACUGCCUUUGAUACUGGUAGUCUCGAGUCCGGAAGAGGUGAGUGGAAUUCCGAGUGUAGAGGUGAAAUUCGUAGAUAUUCGGAGGAACACCAGUGGCGAAGGCGGCUCACUGGUCCGGUACUGACGCUGAGGUGCGAAAGCGUGGGGAGCAAACAGG
rnacentral:rRNA from 1 species